rnacentral:rRNA from 1 species
CAAUAGCGUAUAUUAAAGUUGUUGCGGUAAAAAAGCUCGUAGUUGGAUUUCUACCGAAGAUAGCCGGUCGGGUCUUCGACCUUGUAUCUGGUUUUGUCUUUGGUAUCCUCAUAGGGAACGUUUCUGCGCUUUAUUGCGUGGUGCGGUAUCUAUGACUUUUACUUUGAGGAAAUUAGAGUGUUCACGGCAGGCACACGCCUUGAAUAUAUUAGCAUGGAAUAAUAACAUAGGAUCUUCGUCCUAUUUUGUUGGUUUCUAGGGCUAAGAUAAUGAUUAAUAGGGAUAAUUGGGGGCAUCUGUAUCAACGCGUCAGAGGUGGAAUUCUUGGAUUGCGUUGCGACAAACUACUGCGAAAGCAUUUGCCAAGGAUGUUUUCAUUGA